AUAGUUGACCUCGAAUCAGGUAGGACUACCCGCUGAACUUAAGCAUAUCAAUAGCGGGAGGAA
rnacentral:rRNA from 1 species